rnacentral:rRNA from 1 species
GACGAACGCUGGCGGCGUGCCUAAUACAUGCAAGUCGAACGAGAAUUUCUUACACCGAAUGCUUGCAUUCACCGUAAGAAUUCGAGUGGCGGACGGGUGAGUAACACGUGGGUAACCUGCCCAAAAGAAGGGGAUAACAUUUGGAAACAAAUGCUAAUACCGUAUAACCAUGAUGACCGCAUGGUCAUUAUGUGAAAGGUGGUUCUGCUAUCGCUUUUGGAUGGACCCGCGGCGUAUUAACUAGUUGGUAGGGUAACGGCCUACCAAGGUGAUGAUACGUAGCCGAACUGAGAGGUUGAUCGGCCACAAUGGGACUGAGACACGGCCCAUACUCCUACGGGAGGCAGCAGUAGGGAAUCUUCCACAAUGGGCGCAAGCCUGAUGGAGCAACGCCGCGUGAAUGAAGAAGGUCUUCGGAUCGUAAAAUUCUGUUGUUAGAGAAGAAUAUGAGUAAUAGUAACUGAUUAUUCACUGACGGUAUCUAACCAGCAAGUCACGGCUAACUACGUGCCAGCAGCCGCGGUAAUACGUAGGUGGCAAGCGUUGUCCGGAUUUAUUGGGCGUAAAGGGAACGCAGGCGGUUUUUUAAGUCUGAUGUGAAAGCCUUCGGCUUAACCGGAGAUGUGCAUUGGAAACUGGAAGACUUGAGUGCAGAAGAGGAGAGUGGAACUCCAUGUGUAGCGGUGAAAUGCGUAG